rnacentral:lncRNA from 10 species
GGUGCUCUGAGGAUCAGCAAGAGUGAGGCUGGGCCAAGAAGCCCCCAAACUCCAGCCCCUGUCUCCAUGGCCCAGAGACUCAUUCUGUGAGAGUUUCUCUGCAAAGAUGGCUGCCAACAAUUCCUCCCAUCUCUGCAUGCACAUGCCUUCCUCCCUUCAACAGGUGGGGUCUUUUUCCCCGUAUCCUUGAAUCUGGGCUGCCUGACUUGAUUUGACCAAUGGAAUGUGGCAGGAGGGAUGUCUUGAGAUUACUGAGCUCAGACCUGAAGGGACCUUGUAGCUUCCGCAUCAGCUCAGAGAAAAACAAAUUGACGUGUAAAUCAGUCCAAGUCACCCUGCAGGAGGAGCGGCCACGUGGAGAUAGAGGCCAGGAGAGUGAAAACUGAGGCUCCAGCCAACAUCAUAGCUGAGACUUCCAAAGGAACAAAUUUAUUUCUUUAAGUGUAAAUGGACUCUCCCACAAAGAUGCUGCUAUGUCAUUUCAUACAUUCUUUUUUAACUUCAUCAAACAAAGUACAGUUCUCUGGCGCUAAUGUCAAUCUCCA